CCAGGCGUUCCGUCGCCUGUAGCCUACCGGAGCAUGCGGGACUGGCAACGGUCCCGUGUGAAGCCUUCGGGACAAUGUAGCCCGGAGUAAUCCGUGCGGAAUCCGCGAGGAGGAAGCACGUCUGCGAGUGUCACCGCGGACAGGGCG
rfam:Burkholderia sp. TSV85 TSV85_4, whole genome shotgun sequence.